GGUGGCUGCAGUCUGUUAAAUUGAAGCGACGUUUUAGACGUCUCUGGACUGGAAAUAAGGCCUUUCGGGAUGUCUGAUGAUAUAUUCUCUUUAUUCCCUUUCUGUAAGGGCUUCGAAUCCAUUGUCCUGUGGUCAUGCGAAAACCCUGUAAUUAGUAUUAAAAUGUAAUUAUGUUUCCGGAAAUCUUGUUAACAAUUGACACUAACAUUGUCCAGGAGGCUGAUGCUUUAUAAAACCUCUGAUCAUUCUUCAACCGCCGAGAGUAUGAUAUCAAGACCGCAGGCCUGUUUCCGAUAAUUGUAGAAAUCAUUUCCUUCCGUCUCCCUCCACAAAACCUUCUUUACGAGAAGAUAUGCAGGUAUGUUUGUUUCUUGGAUUCACCACACAAACAGAAAAGGAAGAUGAUGAGGAAACAUAAAGAAAGUAUAGUUUGAUCAGUUACAAAAUAUAGUUGGGUGUCCUGGAUAGUAUAAAUGAUUUGUGGAAACAUGGGGAAGCCUUACAUACCACCAGAUUUAAAUACUUAAAUGUGUGAAAUUGAAAUAAUUGCCCCCACAUGAUAGUGAAAUAAUGUCAUUGCGUGAAUAUAUUCAAAUAAAGAAAAGGUAUAAAGAGUCUGGAUAAGAUAAUAUACAAGCUGUCAAUGGCUAGCAAUUUCCAUAACAAAAGAGGCUAGACCUUGUCUCAUUCCUUGCUGAGGUAGUCUUGACUUGUGAGAGACAAAAUAAUGAUGGGUCGUUGGAGAGAAAAACAGGCAGUGGAGGACAUUGUUUUUGCCAGUGAAACUAGUUGCGGCCUUAAACUAUUGUCGUGGCUGUACAUACAGCCUUAAACUAUUCCUCAUUUAUUGCUGUGUCGCUCUCUACAUGCUUUUGCGAGGUAGUCUGUAAUGUUUUUUUUCUCAAUGACAAAAUAAUUUGAUCGACGAAGAUUCUUUUUUUCCAAAGACUGUCUGUGAGGAAGCUACCUGAGAAAUAAUGUACUCCCUCCAUCCCCGUGGUUGUUAUAUUUACUGUUUGCACGCAUUUUGAGGCUCUUAUAAAAUAUAGUAUCAUAAUUUUUUUUCAAAAUUUUCAUUUUUUUAAUAAAAGUUUAAACAUCAAACUUUUAUCCAGUGAAAAAAAAUUUUAAAAAUAUAUUAUGAAACUAUAUUUUAAAUGAGUGUGGAAAAAUGUGCCAAAAAGUAACGUAAAGAAAUGAGGGGGAUAGAGAGAGUAUAAGAUAAAUAUAAAAAGAUAAAUCAUCUAAACAACUUCUUGCAUUUUGCGUUUAGAAGAUAAUUUCAAAUUCAGGAAGAACAUGAACGUGAAACUGUAAGGAAAGUUGAAAACUAAAAGAACGUCAAAUUGUAAUAAAAGAAUCGGAACGAUAAAUACCCAAAUCCCACCACUAUACCCAUAUUUCUUUCUCUUUUCCAUAUUUCAUACUACUUUAUACACUUUUGUUACGGGGUGUAUUCGAUUGGGAUUUUAAUGGAUUGUUUUUAGUCUAUGGAUUUUAAUGGAUUGUGUGUGAUUUUGAUUUUGUGCGGAUUCUUGAUAAAAUGUCGCAGAGUUUAUAGGAUUUAAGCACAGUGCUUCAAAAUCCCAUUGAUUUUUGUGGGAUUUCAAAAAACUUAAAAUACACUAGAGAAUGCCACAAAAUCCAUCAUUUUAUGAAAUGCAAAAAAAUCCAUCAGCAUUUGAAUACCAUCAGAUUUUAAUGGAUUUUAAAUAAUCCCAAUUGAAUACCAUCGGAUUUUAAAGCAUAAUUUAAAAUCUCAAUUGAAUACCACCGGAUUUUGUAGCAUAAUUUAAAAUCCCAAUUGUAUACCUCAAGAUUUUAAUGGAUUUCAAACAAUCCCAAUCGAAUACCCUCGGAUUUCAUGAAUGCAAAAAAAUGCUUUAAAAUCCUAAUCCAAUACACCCUUCUUAGUCUCCGUACCCAUUUCAUGUGUAUAUUACUCAAAGGGACGGAGGGAGUAUGUUUUAUUGGGGUUUGAUUUAUCUAAUUAUUAAUUAUUUUUUUGUUAUGAUCAAUUAACUGAAUAAUGGUUUUGUGAUCAUAUCUGAUCUGUGUAUUUUUAAUUAUUGAUUAUUCGAGUGACCCUUGGUUCUAAGUUUAUCAUUUGUUUAUUCAUAUUGUGCCAUGGCUUCUUAUUGUCUCGCCAUCAAAUGUUUGAUCAGUCCUAUUCAUUGUUAUACUGUGUUAUUUCUCCGAAAGGAUUUUUGAUGAUUUGAUCAAGUGUUGUACGCCUGUUAUGAUUUGGGGGUUUCAUUAUGAUGCUCUGGAAUGUGGGUUCGUAAAUUUAAUGUUUUGAUUCAUAAAAUGUGUAAAGAAGGUAAAUCGAAAGAAGCCCAACUGGUCUUGAAAAUUGUGGCAAUGCUUGCAACUGUAACUCUGUUCUUUAGUUAUUUGUUUGUUUAAUCCUUGAGUUUUGGUGUUUUUGGCGAUUUUUCAUGUUACAAAUGUAACGCUUCGUUGUUCGCUUCGCAUACGAUGAGGCAACUUGGUUGUUCGCUUCGCAUACGAUGAGGCAACUUGGCCGAUGACAUAGCGGUGGUGGCCGAAGGUGGCGGCAACGGCAGUUCCGGGAUAAGUAUGGGAUUCGGUUUCAGAAAGGAAGGCGUUUAUUGUAUCCUAAUUGUGGACGUUUAUUGUGCCUCUUAAUUGAGGGCAUAAAUUGUGCGUCAUAAUUGAGGCGUAAAUUGUGCCUCUUAAUUGAGGGUGUAAAUUGUGCCUGAUUUGAGGGCCUUAAUUGUGUCUUAAUUAAGGACGUUAAUAUUUUAUUAAUUGUGCCUUAAUUAAGAGUUUGAUUGUCUCAAUUAUGAGUUAUCAUGAUUGUGGGAAUAUUUUUGAUAUAAUCUGUUAUAUACAUCGACUUAUAUUUUUAAUUAUUGUUUCCCAUGUUUUAUUUUCAGGAUUUCUGGAAGAAGACCGGUUUUUCUUUUCGGACAUUAAAGUUUUAUUGUCUAAAUUUCCCCGGUCAUCUUGCAUGUCCGACG
rnacentral:lncRNA from 1 species